rnacentral:rRNA from 1 species
UGGGGAAUUUUGGACAAUGGGCGAAAGCCUGAUCCAGCAAUGCCGCGUGUGUGAAGAAGGCCUUCGGGUUGUAAAGCACUUUUGUCCGGAAAGAAAUCCUCUGGGUUAAUACCUCGGGGGGAUGACGGUACCGGAAGAAUAAGCACCGGCUAACUACGUGCCAGCAGCCGCGGUAAUACGUAGGGUGCAAGCGUUAAUCGGAAUUACUGGGCGUAAAGCGUGCGCAGGCGGUUUUGUAAGACGGAUGUGAAAUCCCCGGGCUUAACCUGGGAACUGCAUUCGUGACUGCAAGGCUAGAGUAUGGCAGAGGGGGGUAGAAUUCCACGUGUAGCAGUGAAAUGCGUAGAGAUGUGGAGGAAUACCGAUGGCGAAGGCAGCCCCCUGGGCCAAUACUGACGCUCAUGCACGAAAGCGUGGGGGAGCAAACAGGAUUAGGAUACCCUGGGUAGUCCACGCCCUAAACGAUGUCAACUAGUUGUUGGGGAUUCAUUUCCUUAGUAACGUAGCUAACGCGUGAAGUUGACCGCCUGGGGGAGUACGGUCGCAAGAUUAAAACUCAAAUGAAUUGAC